ACAGGGGGAAUGGGAGUGAUGCAGACCAAAAAUGAAAAUGUCGGCGUGCAAUGAAAGGUGUGUGGGUGAAAAUUUUCCUCUCUGCAGUGACCCGCUGAUCUUCUGCACUUGGCUUCCGUAGCAUCCUGUCUGCUGCCUAGCAACCCUCAGUAUCUAUGGCAACAAAGCCAACAAACCCUCCUGUCUCCAUCAAACAUACCCCACAAUGAGCCGCUGACAGUGGUCUCCUGUUUUGAAAUGGACUAUCCCUGAGUUAAGGCCUUUGCCAUGCUACUGUGAAAUGAUAGUAGGUAGAGUGUGGCUUGUGACGUUCCGCCCUCUAGUGGACACACGAAGAUAACAGCAAAAAAUCUGUGCUACGUGUCAAGCAUCGAUAAAGAUUCAUCGUAAAAUUAAGUUUUUUUUUAGAUGUAUCGUAAUUUAAGAAGUUAAUUAAAACUGUGGUGUAUUUACAAAUGUUUUUAGGUAAUCGUAGAAAUUACUUUCAAAAUUACACCAAAACUUUGUUACACUUUAUGUAGGAUACAAUGUGACUUCAGUUGCAACAAUGCUUUAAAGCAGACAUAUCAUGCUUUUAAAUCUGUCCUUUUUACAUAUAAAUCAUCUAUUUGUGGUCUAUGUAAAGCGAAACUGCAAUGCUUGGGUCUGAAUUCCUCAUUAUUAUAGCCCCACAGGCCCCCUUUCUACCCCUUUUCUGAUGUGCAUCUGAGAGCAACUCGUUUUGGUACUGUCUUUUUAAAUGCACGUCAUACCCAGCCCCCUCUCCAGGUUGCAGAGGUGACACUCGGUUAAACUCCACCCCGUUCGGCCAUUUUUGUAGUUUUAUAGCAGAGAUACGAUUAUCUAGCUGCACAGAAACUUUUUAUUUACUCGUUAUUCACAAAAUGUCAACAACGGAAGACUUGUCCAUCCAGCCUUAUAUGUUCGCGCCAGAGUCGGAAACGGACUGAGAGGAAAAUGAAGACGACGAACCUGCAGAACAACGUCUUCAUAUGUAGGUAUCGCAAUGGUGUGAGGCUGCAGCCUCCGGAGGUCGCAUAUCUAGGCUGCAUACGUCAUCAAGACGGUCUUAUUUCAGAAUAUUAACAAUUAUAAAGUUGACUAUUAUUCUUAGUUAAUCGUAAGUUGUUGUAAUAUGCUCAUGACUUGCAAAUGUGAUGCUCAGUUAACUUAAACCAGGCUUGAUGCCCAAAAGCGAUCUCCGCAGGCUGCAGCCUUCGGAGUGAGAAACAGCACUGCUAAACCAUGACCACCGUGUACUUUACUUUUUUACUUUAAGUUAUAAACUGCUUACCGAAGUGCUCUGCUCGUCGUCUCCAAAGAAAGAAGUAAUUGACCCCUCAAUCAGACGAAGUCUAUCGGCAAAUCCUUCUUUAUACUGGCGGAGAUUGGUGAAGUAGUUAUCCUUAAAGUGCCUCGGGCACACAAAAAUGACUUUACCCACAGAUGUGAGUACAUUUCUUACGCUCUCGUAACUUCUGCAUCCUUGAGCUUGGACUACAAUAUCGCAGCGAGAAAUAUAAAAUGGCGGAUUGCUCGUAGUGUUGGGCUGGAAGUCGAUGUCCUUAUUUAGCAGUUCCGCUGCAAAUACUGUGACGUAAUUGUUCAAAAAACGUAAUAGAUAAUAGAAAAAUCAGAACCGGUUGGAAAAUAUGACCAAAACAGAAUAUAAAGAUAUCAACAAAGCACCUGAAGAGACUAAUUUCAACUUUUAUGUACUUAUAAACACUACAAAUAUACAACAAAAUGCAUUUAAGAGCCAAGAAAGUGGAUUUAGCAUGAUAUGUCUCC